UGUUUGAUGUUCUAACGUGGACCCGUAAUCCGGGUUGCGGACAGUGUCUGGUGGGUAGUUUGACUGGGGCGGUCUCCUCCUAAAGAGUAACGGAGGAGCACGAAGGUUGGCUAAUCCUGGUCGGACAUCAGGAGGUUAGUGCAAUGGCAUAAGCCAGCUUGACUGCGAGCGUGACGGCGCGAGCAGGUGCGAAAGCAGGUCAUAGUGAUCCGGUGGUUCUGAAUGGAAGGGCCAUCGCUCAACGGAUAAAAGGUACUCCGGGGAUAACAGGCUGAUACCGCCCAAGAGUUCAUAUCGACGGCGGUGUUUGGCACCUCGAUGUCGGCUCAUCACAUCCUGGGGCUGAAGUAGGUCCCAAGGGUAUGGCUGUUCGCCAUUUAAAGUGGUACGCGAGCUGGGUUUAGAACGUCGUGAGACAGUUCGGUCCCUAUCUGCCGUGGGCGCUGGAGAACUGAGGGGGGCUGCUCCUAGUACGAGAGGACCGGAGUGGACGCAUCACUGGUGUUCGGGUUGUCAUGCCAAUGGCACUGCCCGGUAGCUAAAUGCGGAAGAGAUAAGUGCUGAAAGCAUCUAAGCACGAAACUUGCCCCGAGAUGAGUUCUCCCUGAGACUUAGAGUCUCCU
rnacentral:rRNA from 1 species